CCCCGGGUGCUACGCUCAAAGUGCACCGGAAGGAAGCGAACACUGCAGCACUGUGCGGACCACAAAAAAUUCCGACUCGCGCACGCGCGCGAGAUACGCAGAGAUGGUUCUACGCAUGUGCGGGGCUGGCGCCCCUCUGCGCGACCACUUUACGGUUUCCGGAAAAACGCUCGGCUAGUUUCCCCGGGAAGCAAAGGCGCGAUGAACUUUGAACAGCCGUCGGGGUCUUUAUUUAGAGCGCGGGGCAGCUGGUGAGAGAGACAGAGCAUGAACGGGGGAGGGGCAGAGAGAGAGGGAGACACAGAAUCCUAAGCAGGCUCCAGGCUCUGAGCUGUCAGCACAAAGCCCGACGCGGGGCUCGAACCUACAGACUGUGAGAUCAAGACCUAAGCCAAAGUCGGGCGCUCAACCGACUGAGCCACCCAGGCGCCCCAUCUAGCGCCAAGAUUCUUUAGAAACAAAAUACCAAUAACGAAUUCAAUAUUGAGCACAAAUGAUAUUGAGUACAUUCAAUACUAAGUACAUAUACUAGCGUUGUGUCGUUGUGUAAGCAGGGGAGCGAGGAGAAGGUAUAGAAAAGUAUAAGGUUAAAUCUGCUCUCAAGAACUUAGUUGAAAAGUUAAAAUUCAAAACUUAAACACUUAAAAUAUAUUAGAAAACUAAAUCGUGCAUGAGACUUAAAAUUGUUAAAUAAUAAAGAAGGAUAUUUAAUGAA